UCGGCUACGAGGACGAACGCUGGCGGCGUGCUUAACACAUGCAAGUCGAACGGAAAGGCCCCCUUGUGGGGUACUCGAGUGGCGAACGGGUGAGUAACACGUGAGUAACCUACCUUGACUUUGGGAUAACUUCAGGAAACUGGGGCUAAUACCGGAUAGGAGCUCCUGCUGCAUGGUGGGGGUUGGAAAGUUUCGGCGGUUGGGGAUGGACUCGCGGCUUAUCAGCUUGUUGGUGGGGUAGUGGCUCACCAAGGCUUUGACGGGUAGCCGGCCUGAGAGGGUGACCGGCCACAUUGGGACUGAGAUACGGCCCAGACUCCUACGGGAGGCAGCAGCGGGGAAUAUUGCACAAUGGGCGGAAGCCUGAUGCAGCAACGCUGCGUGCGGGAUGACGGCCUUCGGGUUGUAAACCGCUUUCGCCUGUGACGAAGCGUGAGUGACGGUAAUGGGUAAAGAAGCACCGGCUAACUACGUG
rnacentral:rRNA from 1 species